AUUGUAUGUAACUGGUGACAUUUGAAAGAGACAUAUUGGACAGAAAUGACAUACGUGAAAGCUAAGAUACAAUAUAUUUAAUUUUCUAAGAAUUCAGUUCAAGGUAGUCUGCCUGGUUUCUCAAGUUCUGCAUGUUUCUUCAGUAGACUAAAUAAUGAUAAGGAAGCUGAGAUGUAGAGCUGAAGUGUCUUGCCCAAGAUCAUUUGUCUACCUAUGACCUGGCUCAACCCAGCUACAAGUUGUUAAUAAGAGGGAAGCAUAUCAGGAAAAUCUGAGUGCAAUGGUUUAGGAAUUGGGAAAGUAUAAAAGGUAUAGCACAACAGCACUAGACAACUGAGGUAGUCACCUACCUAAGGAGAGAUGCCAAGGACAAGUUGGCCAGCUAAACACUUUCUCCAGAAAUGGGAUUUAUAGUUUUGCUAAUUUCUUUAAUAUCAGAAGACAGCUGGAUUCUCAUUUCUGCUUCUGCAUUCAGUCUAUUGUGAUAUAGCAUAUCAUGUAACUUCUGAAAAACUUCACUGUACACAGAUGCUGACCUCACAGACUCCCUGAAAGGAUCUCCAUGACCUCUAUGGUUCCUUAGACUGCACUUUGAGAACUAUUGACGUACAGGGAAAAAUGCUCUUGGUGUUCCAGUUAAGCACAGAAUAAAAUCUGGACUGUGUCAGUUUGUAAAGAUCUUAUGUCUACUUGGUCAUCAGCCAAGAAGGGAUUCCGAAGAUAGAAGAGGAGGCAUCAACACCGUGAACAUCAUGGCUGAGUUAUUUUGUGAGAGGGAUAAGCCUAAAGUAAAAACCUUGGAUUUGCCUCUGUCCUUGAACAUGCUAUCUGGAAAGAGUUUUCUUAAAAGUAUUGUUGUGAACACAUCCAUUUUCCCAGUAUAGUUGAAUGCAGGGUUUAAUAAAUGGAAUGAAUCUAGUUUUA
rnacentral:lncRNA from 1 species